GACGAACGCUGGCGGCGUGCUUAACACAUGCAAGUCGAACGAAGUGGCGAACGGGUGAGUAACGCGUAAUCAACCUGCCCUUAAGAGGGGGACAACACUUGGAAACGACUGCUAAUACCGCAUACUGAAGGAGGGGUAUGCGUGGGAUUAGCUAGUUGGAGGGGUAACGGCCCACCAAGGCGAUGAUCAGUAGCCGGUCUGAGAGGAUGAUCAGUCACACUGGAACUGAGACACGGUCCAGACUCCUACGUGAGGCAGCAGUGGGGAAUAUUGGACAAUGGGCGAAAGCCUGAUCCAGCCAUGCCGCGUGUGUGAAGAAGGUCUUCGGAUUGUAAAGCACUUUAAGUUGGGAGGCGUUACCAACAGAAUAAGCACCGGCUAACUUCGUGCCAGCAGCCGCGGUAAUUC
rnacentral:rRNA from 1 species